AUACAAUAAACGACAUAGAAUAUCAUGUGUA
rnacentral:guide_RNA from 1 species